rnacentral:ncRNA from 1 species
UAAAAAACGAUGAGCAGACUAGUAAAGAUUCUCACUUUUUCAGAGAGCCUGAAUUGAUGGAAACAGGUAGGGUGGUUUUCUUGAAUCACAUCUGUUAGUUGGUUUUCUGAAUACGGUAGGAAAAUCCGGGGUUGCCCGUUACAGCGCAGAGUUUAUCUUGAUGAACUUGCUGAGGUCAUUCUUGUGAAGGAAUGACAUUAUGAGGUGGGACCGCGGAAACGCCCUCAUAGCCGGAAUGGUUAUGAGAGCGUUUUUUAGUUAAGGUAAACUUGAUGAGGCAGUUGUCGUGAGGCAAUUGUAAAUUGAGGUGGAAACACGGUUUAUUCGUCCUCUUG